UACGUAGGGACCGAGCGUUGUCCGGAUUCAUUGGGCGUAAAGAGCUCGUAGGCGGCUGUUCAAGUCGAACGUGAAAACUCGGGAGCUCAACUCCGAGCCUGCGUUCGAUACUGGACGGCUAGAGUCUGGUAGGGGAUCUGGAAUUCCUGGUGUAGCGGUGGAAUGCGCAGAUAUCAGGAGGAACACCGGUGGCGAAGGCGGGAUCCUGGGCCAGUACUGACGCUGAGGAGACGAAAGCGGUGGGGAGCAAACAGG
rnacentral:rRNA from 1 species